GAAAGCAAGCAUUGGCAGAUACUACAAAUUAAAUGAAACAUGGCUCAAAGUUAAAAUAUUUUAUCUGAGCUGCAGAUACAAAUUAACUCAAACAUGGUUCAAAGUUAAGAUCUUUUAUCUGAGCUACACAUAUAUAUGCAGAAUAAAGACUCUUUACAGCAUGCAUAAACAAUUGUGGGAGUAUGUAUCAGCUAUGUUUCCUAUUCUCAGUUUUAAUUAUGAAUACUUGAUUUAGUACCAGAACCGUGUACAUAUGUUUGCAAAAUUGCAAGUAAAAUGAAGGUGUAGAACUAUAAUGUUGUUCUAUGGUUUCUUUUGCGCUACAUCUGGACUAUGGCUAUGGCGUGGCUGUGUAUGCCUUGCAAGAGAAAUAUUCCCAAUGAC
rnacentral:sRNA from 1 species